GAGUUUGAUCCUGGCUCAGAGUGAACGCUGGUGGCGUGCCUAAUACAUGCAAGUCGAACGAUGAAGCUUCUAGCUUGCUAGAAUGCUGAUUAGUGGCGCACGGGUGAGUAACGCAUAGGUCAUGUGCCUCUUAGUUUGGGAUAGCCAUUGGAAACGAUGAUUAAUACCAGAUACUCCCUACGGGGGAAAGAUUUAUCGCUAAGAGAUCAGCCUAUGUCCUAUCAGCUUGUUGGUAAGGUAAUGGCUUACCAAGGCUAUGACGGGUAUCCGGCCUGAGAGGGUGAACGGACACACUGGAACUGAGACACGGUCCAGACUCCUACGGGAGGCAGCAGUAGGGAAUAUUGCUCAAUGGGGGAAACCCUGAAGCAGCAACGCCGCGUGGAGGAUGAAGGUUUUAGGAUUGUAAACUCCUUUUGUUAGAGAAGAUAAUGACGGUAUCUAACGAAUAAGCACCGGCUAACUCCGUGCCAGCAGCCGCGGUAAUACGGAGGGUGCAAGCGUUACUCGGAAUCACUGGGCGUAAAGAGCGCGUAGGCGGGAUAGUCAGUCAGGUGUGAAAUCCUAUGGCUUAACCAUAGAACUGCAUUUGAAACUACUAUUCUAGAGUGUGGGAGAGGUAGGUGGAAUUCUUGGUGUAGGGGUAAAAUCCGUAGAGAUCAAGAGGAAUACUCAUUGCGAAGGCGACCUGCUGGAACAUUACUGACGCUGAUUGCGCGAAAGCGUGGGGAGCAAACAGGAUUAGAUACCCUGGUAGUCCACGCCCUAAACGAUGGAUGCUAGUUGUUGGAGGGCUUAGUCUCUCCAGUAAUGCAGCUAACGCAUUAAGCAUCCCGCCUGGGGAGUACGGUCGCAAGAUUAAAACUCAAAGGAAUAGACGGGGACCCGCACAAGCGGUGGAGCAUGUGGUUUAAUUCGAAGAUACACGAAGAACCUUACCUAGGCUUGACAUUGAGAGAAUCCGCUAGAAAUAGUGGAGUGUCUGGCUUGCCAGACCUUGAAAACAGGUGCUGCACGGCUGUCGUCAGCUCGUGUCGUGAGAUGUUGGGUUAAGUCCCGCAACGAGCGCAACCCCCUUUCUUAGUUGCUAACAGGUCAUGCUGAGAACUCUAAGGAUACUGCCUCCGUAAGGAGGAGGAAGGUGGGGACGACGUCAAGUCAUCAUGGCCCUUACGCCUAGGGCUACACACGUGCUACAAUGGGGUGCACAAAGAGAAGCAAUACUGCGAAGUGGAGCCAAUCUUCAAAACACCUCUCAGUUCGGAUUGUAGGCUGCAACUCGCCUGCAUGAAGCUGGAAUCGCUAGUAAUCGCAAAUCAGCCAUGUUGCGGUGAAUACGUUCCCGGGUCUUGUACUCACCGCCCGUCACACCAUGGGAGUUGUGUUUGCCUUAAGUCAGGAUGCUAAAUUGGCUACUGCCCACGGCACACACAGCGACUGGGGUGAAGUCGUAACAAGGUAACCGUAGGUGAACCUGCGGUUGGAUCACC
rnacentral:rRNA from 1 species